GCAGUCACACAAAGUGGAUUGUCAAUUAAACGACUGCGCCGUUCUACUACCGAGCGAGGAUAACAAGUGGCUUGAAUUCGAUAAUUACAACAACAAGGAGCGUGUAGCCUUUGUUGUUUAUUCUGAUUUGGAGUGCAUACUGAGGAAGAUUGAGUCAGGAACAGAGAACACUUCAAAUUUCUCGUAUCAGCAUCACGAGCACGUCUUUGGAAUCGCGGUAUGCGCCGCGUAUUUUGGGUAGAAAGUUCCCGCUAACCUUAAAAUUCUACAAAUGGAUUUAUAUUGCUAUGAUUGUGGGACCUGUUUCCUGCUUUGUGGAAAUGUCGAUUGGCGAUACGCGCGGCAAUCGGAUCGUUCUACCUUAUAAAACAUGGAAAGCUUUGAUCGAGAGACGUGUGGAUAUUGAGCGACUCGCCCAGUCAACAGAAGCAUCAUCGUUAACGAUUCACGAACUUUGCGUGCAACUCGUAAAACUGCGCGAUGAAAGUAUUGUUAAAUUAUCGUUGCGCGAUGCUUGCAUUUACCUAAAACCUGCAACUAUGUUAUUUAUAUUCAACCUGGAACAUUGUGUCGAGCACAUGUAUUGUACGCUACAUCAAAACACGAUUACUGCCACUGAAAAAUAUAAAUAUUUAGUAAAUUUAUUGCGCUUGAACUGUAUCAUGAAUAAACGCGAAGCGAUACGUAUGUUGCACAGAUCUUACGAUACAAAUUCACAAAUUGAGUGUGAAUUAAUAGCUUACGCUAUUGAUACUAUUGUGAACGAAGCAUUACAUGAACAAUAAAAAGGAUUUUAAAAAACUC